rnacentral:misc_RNA from 1 species
AGGAGGGUGCCGCAGUGCGCGGUAUCUCUCGCAUACACACGCACACGGGCCAGCACCCCCCCGCCCCUCUAUUCCCGGGCAAACGCCGCACCACUGCUGACGAGUGGCAGGGCCCAGGCACCCACGGCGUGGCGAGGUCAGAGCGAUGUAUUCCUGCUGAUGUCGGCGGCCAGACCCUGGAGGGCGCUGCGUCGGAGCGACCUGCGACGACGCACACGUUGGCGCCGUCCACAUCAUGGGCGGGGUGUCGGCGUGACUCAGGUGUAUGCCACCCCCAGCCCUGACUGCCCUGCUGGUGGGGUGGGGGGAAGCCCGAGGAGCAUGGAGUGGGCAGAGCUUGCGGCAGGGGCGCUGCUGCGGUGACGGAUUCGGCGCACUGCUGUACCGCGCGUGUCUGGCGGCUGCGUCGCUUCUUUUUUCCCGCGCGCUGCUCGCCCCAACCACCCUUGCGUCUUCUUUGGUCAUCACUCACACGCUUCACCCAUCACCACCCACUACUCCCCUUCCGUCUUUGCAUGGGCACCCUUCGUCCCUCUCUCUCCGGCUGGCGCUGCAUGCGUGUCCAG